rnacentral:rRNA from 1 species
CGGCCGCGGGAAUUCGAUUAGAGUUUGAUCAUGGCUCAGAACGAACGCUGGCGGCAUGCCUAACACAUGCAAGUCGAACGAAGGCUUCGGCCUUAGUGGCGCACGGGUGCGUAACGCGUGGGAAUCUGCCCCUUGGUUCGGAAUAACAGUUAGAAAUGACUGCUAAUACCGGAUGACGACGUAAGUCCAAAGAUUUAUCGCCGAGGGAUGAGCCCGCGUAGGAUUAGCUAGUUGGUGUGGUAAAGGCGCACCAAGGCGACGAUCCUUAGCUGGUCUGAGAGGAUGAUCAGCCACACUGGGACUGAGACACGGCCCAGACUCCUACGGGAGGCAGCAGUGGGGAAUAUUCGUAAUGGGGGGAACCCUGAACGAGCAAUACUACGUGGGGGAUGAAGGUCUAAGGAUUGUAAACCCCUGUUAUCGCAGAAAAAGAGUACUUGUUACUUUGAUUGUAUGCGAAGAGGAAGUGACGACUAACUAUGUGCCAGCAGCCGCGGUAAUACGAAUCACUAGUGAAUUCGCGGCCGCCUGCAGGUCGACCAUAUGGGAGAGCUCCCAACGCGU